rnacentral:rRNA from 1 species
GACGAACGCUGGCGGCGUGCUUAACACAUGCAAGUCGAACGGAAAGGCCCUGCUUUGGUGGGGUGCUCGAGUGGCGAACGGGUGAGUAACACGUGAGUAACCUGCCCUUGACUUUGGGAUAACUUCAGGAAACUGGGGCUAAUACCGGCUAGGAGCUCCUGCUGCAUGGUGGGGGUUGGAAAGUUUCGGCGGUUGGGGAUGGACUCGCGGCUUAUCAGCUUGUUGGUGGGGUAGUGGCUUACCAAGGCUUUGACGGGUAGCCGGCCUGAGAGGGUGAUCGGACACAUUGGGACUGAGCUACGGCCCAGACUCCUACGGGACGCAGGAGUGGGGAAUAUUGCACAAUGGGCGGAACCCUGAUGCAGCAACGCCGCGUGCGGGAUGACGGCCUUCGGGUUGUAAACCGCUUUCGCCUGUGACGAAGCGUUAGUGACGGUAAUGGGUAAAGAAGCACCGGCUAACUACGUG